AUCUCACUGAUAUGUAGAAUUUAAGAAGCAAAACGAAGGGUCAUAGAGAAGAAAGAAAAAAAUGAUAUCAGAUGGAAUCAAAGAGGGAGAUAAACCAUAAAAGACUCUUAAUCAUAGGAAACAAGCUGAGAGUUGCAGACGAUGAGGGUUGAGGGGAGAGAGUACUCAGUGAUAGACAGUGAGGAGGCCUGCGAUUUAAUGAGCAGUGGGUAUUAUAUAAGCUGCUGGAUCCCCAACUAACAAUAUGCUAUAUGGAAGUUAUUCAGUUUAAAUCGAACAUAAUAAAAAUGCUUAAGAUGAAAAAAUAUACAUGAGGAAGCCCAGCAUUCUUUGAAAAAUCUCUAAAUAUAUUUUAAUUAAAAAUAAGAAGUCCCAUGAUUCUUAAGCAUCAUGAUGAGAUGUUAAUGGAUGCAGCUCAGCUACUUAGUGACCCUGAAAGGGCAGAGCCUGGACAAGGGAGACGCUGGGGUCACAGUGGACAAACCUGGCAAGGACCCCCUUAAGCAGAGAUCGCGGCAGGCAUCCCCAGGGAGGCCCCAUGGAAGUCACGUGUCCCUGAAAAGGUGCCAUGAGCCGGGCACCCCUCUCCUCCGAAGGUCUGGGACACAAGAUGGGAACGUGGGGGGAACGGAAGCGGCUGAGGGGUUUGGGGGGUUCCCCACACGGUCCGCCAACCGCUCUGUGCUUCCACGGCCCGGUCCAAGUGAAGGUUUCUCUGAAAGGAGACGCCGGGGCCAGAGGGGCCCGGGCCUGGGUGGACCCCACUAGGAGGCAGGAGCCUGCAGCCUCCCAGGAGGCCCGGCGUGGACGCAGCUGGAAACCCGCUCCUCCCCGGGACGCAGCCAGGCAGGCCUCGGGCCCGGAGGCAGAACGCGGCCCCGGCCAGGCUGCCCCUCGGCUGCAGAGGAAAGAGGACCCGGGAGGGGAAAGCAGUCGUUCCCAAGGUCUGCUGAACGUCCCCCACGACGCCCGAGAGAUGCUUCGAGCCGGCGGCAGGUGCGCUCCUCUGCACCUGGACGGCUGUUGCUGCUCCGGCCUGGGACCGUCUGCUCCCGGACCCGGCGGUCUCUCCCCACGAGCAAGUGGAGAAGGGCCCCCUCGGCCGUGCCAGCCUCCCCUCAGCUCCCUCUGCAGGGACACGUGAUGGUGCCAGGGCAAGGAGGCUGGCGGGGACCCAGCACAGCCCCACUGUCGGACGCUGGGACACGUCCCUGCGGGGAGAGGCGCCCCGGGUCUGCGUGGACACGUGCCAUUUGCAAGGAUGCCCGGAUUCCUGAGACAUUCACACUCAAGCCCGUGUUUCCCAUAGGAUGAGUUAGGUACACGGAGACCGUGUCACAGAAGCAACCUCAGCUCAAAGCAUCGCACACGGGUCACCCUUCCGUGGGGUCUCUGUGGUGUCAAGGGCUGUUUGUACGAUGCCCUGGAGGCUGGCCGCCCCCCGCGGAGCUUGCACUUACCAACAGUUUCUUUGGAUUGGGCUCUGAACAGACCUACAAAGAAAGCCCAAAAACUUGCGCCCUUCUCAUUAGCUCUCUUCUUCCUCUCCUCAGCGAUGGAGCAGAGCACCAUCAUGAUGGCUUCUUCUUGGACGGGUUCCUUGACGAACCUCAAAGGAAGCAUUUCAAAGGGAGAGUGUUAAUGAGCAUCGGACUAUUUCCACCCAAACGCUACUCCUCCUAGUGUCGAGGCCGAGUCUCGCGUGGACGGCAGCAGCUCGGCCGUAUGCAUACAGAGGGCACCCAGCCCUGAGGGCCGUUUCUUGGCUCGGAUGAAGCAGGUGGCACUUAGUUAACAAGCAGAUGGAAUCGGACCGGACAGGUCUUCCUUGCCCUCUGCUUAACCUCUGCUGUAUGACAGGAAGGAGCAAAGCCAGGACGCGCUCCCCCCAGCCACCCGCGGAGGCCUCCUGGCGUCUGCGGCCUUCUGCUGGCUCCCGCAUCCCCGGGGCCUGGAGCCUGGCGGGGGGCAACACAGCCUGGCCUCGAUCCCGGCCCUGGGAUGGGGCAGAGGAAGGCACUGGAUGCGGGGACUGCUCGUUGCCGCCCUGGGCCCCUGAGCACACUCGCCCAGUCCCGCGUGUGAAGUGUAGACACACCAGCUAUAGGCUGGGCUCCCGAGGGUCCGAGGGGAUCGGAGGCGGGCACCUGGCGGGGGUCAGGGUGGCCCUGGAGGAUGUUCUCUCAGCCAUACACGCCUCUGGCUUUUGUAGGAGCAGCUCCUACUGACGCCAGUGGGGCUCUGCAUGUGGGCUGCGAAGGCAGUUCCAAGUGACCCGGGAAGGGCUGCGACCUGAGAGGCGACACAGCCGCGGAAAUGCAGGGGGUUGCACGUCGGGACAGACGGACCUUCGCAACGAUGAGCUUUGAGGAGCUCCCUGAGGGUCCUCCAGCACCAGGCUCUAAGGCGACGGUACCCUCCCGGUCCUGGGAGAGAACCCGGAGCCCUUACCACAAGUCUGCAGGUCUGCAGUGUGGCCACGGGCAGGCUCCAGGGCUUCUGUGCAGUCCUAGGAGCGGUCAGAGUGUCCCGCGCUCUGGCCCCCGCAGUUCCUGAGGUCCCGGGGUCCCCACCGUGCACGGACUCCCUGCCCGCCUUGCCACGUAUAGCCACGAUGCGGGCUGAGCUGCUGCAUUUGCCCUGGAGCUCACCAAGCGCCACCCACAUCCCCCCAACGUGUCUGCUUGACCGGUGGGGUGUGGAGGCCGCGCAGGGUGCUCCAGGGCCUGGAGGAGGUCGGGUGCGCCUGCCCCGCCCUGGCUCCCUGCGUCCCGGACCUGCCAGGACACCCGUGGCGCCCCGGCUCCUUUCCCCCCACUGCAGCCCUGGCGCAGAGUCCAGGCCCAUCCGCCACCCUGGAAGCGAGCCGCCGGGACGGGCGAGCCCCGUGCACACACAGGUCACAGUAAUGCACUAGCGUCCUAACAGCAACCGGACUGCACCUGGCGCGAGUCACCGAGAGAGGAGGGGGCGCGGGGUGUGACUUGGUUUACCCAGUCCCAGGUGCUGCGCAGCUGUGCCAAUAAAAUGAGUUUUGUGUCAAACA